UAAAGAUCAAGGUGGCACAAAUCAUCAUAGGCCACAUGGAUGCUCAAAGAAACAUAAAAGCUAAUGACCACAUGAGGGAUCAUGGCUGCAUAAGCUUAAGAGUUCAUGGCCACAAAGAAAAUCAUGGCUACGUGUGAUGUUCCAAUGCUAAAUAAGGGCACCAAUGUGUGAUAGAGCAAACAUAAUAUAAGUAUUUACAUUGCAGCGGAACUACACAUCCCAUACAAAGUUUAUAAAAGACUAUAUAUUGAGGCCCAAUAGGCUAUCUACAUUUCAAAUUACAAAAUAAGAGAUAACCUAGUUACAAAAUACUAGCCUUAAGUCUAAAAUAAAAUACGAAGUAUGCUCCAAACUACACUUCCCAAAAGGAAUCUAAACAGGGCUCUAUAGUGUUUUCCCCUAAAUCUGAAGAUGAGGGAGGGGUUGAAUUUGGGUGAGUUCUAAUACUUAGUAAGAUAGAAUAAAAUAAUACAACACAUAUACGUUUCAAAAUCUUCAUUGAGGAAAACUUGAAAAACAGGAGUUCCCAAUUUAAUUAACAUAUCUAAUAAAAUGCCAUGGUUAAAUCCCAUAACCAAUAUUCAUAUCCAACUCAAAUGUUCAUCUCAUACAAAUUGUUACAAGGAUGCUCAAUGGGUUUACACAACUCACGCACCCAAGACCAAACUCAUUUUCUGACAUAGUUUUAAUGACCAGUUAUUAUCUUAAUUUAAAUUACAUUGAUUGCAAAACUAUGCACACAGCCACUUAUACUUAUUUCCAAAUAGGGUAAACGGGAUACCAACUAGUCAUGGGUGGGUGCACAAAUGCUUACAAACAUACAAUUACAGAUAACAAAUACAAAUGUAAUUCUCUCACGUCUCUCCAUGUCGCCAUCAUUCAUGCCCUUUUGCCUCAAAACAUGAAUAAAUCACACAGAAUCCCUAGGGACAACUUAAUUACAUGUCCCAUUAAGGAAUCAAAAACCAACACCCAUAACAUAGUGACUCUUGAACAAAUAAGCAAACCAAAUAUCCCUCGAAGCAAAUACGGUGAAUCGGAUUUAAACUAAAUUAUGUGUUUAUUUAAAUUUUUUACUUUCAUUUUAUUUGGUUAAAUUCUUAGACUUCAUUAUCUUUUCCUAAAUUCAUAUAUUUUAUUAUAAUUCUAGAAAAUUAAAAUCUUAAUUUUUCUCAAUAUUUUAGUUUAUCUUAUAACUUGUGAAUUUCUUUAUUUUUAUAUUUAAAUCUAAAUAUUACUAAGAGAAUUUAACUAUUUAUUAAGUGAUUUAGUUUUUAUUUUUCCAUUUUAAUUUAAACAAUUCAUCCUUACUAAUUAACCCAUUUUAUCUCAAAUAAUUUCCAUAAUCCCAAAUUUUACAAAUUUCCUUUUUCUUUUGUUACUCAGCCCGUGCCUGAGCAGCAUUUCCAAACUGUUCUAGGUGCCCAGACGUUCCACGCAUGCCCGCAAGUUGCAGGACAGCACACACGCAGCAGCAGCUGCACCUUGGCGCCGCAUGCUUUUGGCAGAACCAUUCGGUUCAAUUCCUUGGAAAUAUUUUCUCCUUUUUUUAUUUUCCAAGCAUCAAUCACCAACACCCAUUCACUUUAUUCAUCCAUGCAUCAAAAAUAUCAUCUUGAUUUGUUAAAAUCACAUUUCAUGAGACACACACACAUUAGCUUAACACAUGCAGCAUCACUAAAUUUAUUCAAGCAGUUUAAUCAUCAAAUGUAUUUAAAAAUCUCAUUUCAUGCAUCAACAAGAUUUAUACCCAUUUUACUCGUUAAAUGCAUGAGACAGAAGCUAAAUUGCACGAAGAAAACAUUGGAAAUUCAAGAAUUCUUCUUUGCAACUCACAGUAGCUGUGCUUGCAUAGCAUAGUGAUGAUUUUGAGUUUAAAAGUUGUUUUACUUUUGGAAAUAAAAUCCUAACACAUUAUCUUAGUGAUUAUCUACAAAGUUUUAGAAGGAAACAUGAAACAGAAGUGGAAUUGGAUGAUGAACAGAUGCUUACUGCUACAAUUUGAGAGCUGGAUUUUUGUGUACAAGUAAUCAUAACACAUUAAAGGCAAAACAAUUCAGACAGGAGAACAAACCACUUACCUCGACAAGAAGAAAUUUCCCCCCUCUGUUACGCACACAGAACGUAUACUCUAUUCUUGUGCAUCACACUCUCUCUCUCUAUCUACUAUUUUCUACUCUCAACCUCCCCUCUCACUCACUUAUUUAACUGGAGUUUUGGGUUUGAAGAAGAUGAAGAUGAAGGUGUGAAGAGAAGGAAGCUUUUAGCUAAAUUUAGUCCAUCAUCCGACCAUCCAAACGCAUGUACGGCAUCACAGUGUCGGUACUUUCGGUGGCCGACCAAGGUUGGCUUGGAAGGCCGAUUUUUUUCUUGCACCUGGCCGGUCCUCACAACAGCCCACCAUGUGGCUCAGUUAUGGCCACAAUUUUGGUAUUAGUGGGUGUUUGGUUUAUGUUUA
rnacentral:lncRNA from 1 species